GAGAGGAGGAUAGGAGGAGAGGAGAGGAAGAGGAGGAUGAGAGAUGAGAGGAGGAGAAAUGUUCUAUCAAUCCACCAUCACAUCUCUCCUCUUCUCAUCUCCUCUCUUCCAAUCUUCCCUCUUU
rnacentral:miRNA from 14 species